rnacentral:rRNA from 1 species
GGUAACGGCCCACCGAGCCUAUGACGGGUAGCCGGCCUGAGAGGGCGACCGGCCACAUUGGGACUGAGAUACGGCCCAGACUCCUACGGGAGGCAGCAGUGGGGAAUAUUGCACAAUGGGCGCAAGCCUGAUGCAGCGACGCCGCGUGCGGGAUGACGGCCUUCGGGUUGUAAACCGCUUUUGAUUGGGAGCAAGCGAGAGUGAGUGUACCUUUCGAAUAAGCACCGGCUAACUACGUGCCAGCAGCCGCGGUAAUACGUAGGGUGCAAGCGUUAUCCGGAAUUAUUGGGCGUAAAGAGCUCGUAGGCGGUUCGUCGCGUCUGGUGUGAAAGUCCAUCGCUU